UUUUCCCCCUCUCUUCCCCAACGCUCUCUCUUCUCUCCUCCCUCCAACCUUCCAUCUCCACCCGCCACCACCACUAGUCCCCUGCCACUGCCACCAUCCCCGACCCAGACCAUCGCCGACACCGCAAAACCUGAACCCCUAAACCCCUCAACGUCACCCUCUCUCUCUUCCCCUCCAUAACCACCACUCACCAACCAACACCACCACCCACAAACCACCGCGGCCAUCACCGGCGGAGCCCGAACCGCCACCAACACCACCCUCCUUCCCCUUCCUUCUUUCUUCUCCUUCCCCCCUUCUUUCCCUUUUCACCACGACCCUGCCUCCAGCCAGACUGCCGCGGGCAGUACUGGAGCCGCCGCACCGCCGCCGUCCUUGAGUGGCAACAACCCCCCCUCCACUUCCUAUCCCAACUCUGUACUGCGACUCCCAGGAUGUCUGAUCCAAAAGGGAAAGGCAAAGCUAAAGCAGGCACGGGUAAAAGGAAAAGACGAGAGUCCUCUAUUGCUCUGACAGACAUUCUGCAUGAUGAUUCCUAGUGUGAGAAGAACUUCACUCCGCAGGAAAAAGCAGAUCAAUUAGUGCCUGCAACCGACCCAAGCAAGUUUGCCAACCACUACUGUGAACUUAAAUAUCCGAUCUUUGCAAAUACAAGGCAUCUAUAUUUAGAAAAGACUCUCAGAAUUUCACUUGCAUUACAGCAGUACACCACAGAACAAAUCAAACAGAGAGGCUGGUUCUUUCUAGAGAGGAACCUAACUGAGGUUAAUGCAUCUUGGGUCCGGGAAUUCUAUUGCAACUAUUAUAAGACGACCCUAGAUGCAGUACAGCUCAGAGGGAAACAAAUUUUGGUUACUGAGGAGGCCAUUAAGAAUAUCCUCCAUUUCCAGCCUAAAUCAAAUGAGCCAGAUGGUUAUCAGAAGGCUGAGGAAUCCAUGAGGUUUAUGAGCUUUGAUUGAGAGGCAGUGAAACGCACCAUAGCCAUUGAUCCUGCUGUUCCCUGGCUUAUGGGCAAGUCAACAGUAAAUCCAAAGGGCAUCAAGAUUAUUUAUCUUAAUGAUGUGGCUCGGCUAUGACAACAAAUUCUGAGCAACUAUGUUAUGCCGAGCACUCAUGAGACUGAGGUGCCAGCUGCCAUGAUUACUCUCAUCUGGUGCGUCAUGGAAGGCAAUGACCUGUACCUUCCACGGUUCAUCCGGUAGUACAUGGCAAGGGUUCAUGUUUGAGGCACUCUGUCAUUCCUUUAUCUGAUUACCCAAAUGGGCCGCCGGGCUGAGGUACCCUGGGAGCUUCAGGAUGAGAAGCCACCAGCCGCCGACUGCAAGAAGAUAAUCCCGCACGGUAGGAAGUUCGAGGCUCUGAGCCACAGACCGCCUUCUCUUACUGCCUCCGCUGAUGUAGCCACAUCUUCUGUUGCCCCUUCAGCACCUGCUGCACCACCCACAUCCACAGCACCCUCACCCGCUUCCCAGCCCAUCUACCACCUAGUGCACUGACUCUUUGAGCUCCUGGAUCGGAUGGAGCGUUGCAAUAAGCGACGCUAUGAGCAUCUGAAGCUGAUAAUCAGAUCGGAACACACUGACAUUCCCUCCGAGCCUGACACACCAUCGGAGCCAUCUGAGGAGGAGGCGGAUGAGCAGGAGCAGGAUGCACGGGCAGAGGAUGAGCACCAGGAGCCUUAGCAAGCAGAGCCCCAGCACGAGGAGCCUCAGCUAGAGCAGUCUGCAGCACCCCAGGCCCCUAUACAGGUAGAGCCACAGGCACCUUCACAGCCGGAGCCCAUAGAGACAGCAUCAGCACACCCUUCAGGAGGUGACGACCUUUCACACCCAGCUUUACUGAGCAUCAAGGACGAUGCUAUUAUAUAAGUGUGGGGAGGUCGUCAUCUCUGGCGGAUCUUAUUUUGGUGAAAUAUUUUAGACCAUUUUCAUCCUAUUUUGUUUCAUUUUCUGUAUUUUUGUUUUAUUUCAUUUUAUCUUAUUUUUUCUUUCAGUACUUGCACAUUUUCUUUUACUGUACUUUUGUCUAUUUCUACUUUAUUAUAUUUUGCAUUUUGUGACA